rnacentral:ribozyme from 1 species
GUUCAUUUCAUUCGCCUACUAUACACACACACAAGAAGAAAAAAAAAGAAAGAAGAAAAAAAAAGGGGGCAGACUUGAUUGGGAUGUUGCGUGGGUGUGCACUCUCACCUGUUUGUUGGUUGGUAUGAGUGCUUUGCUUUAAAUAUAUAUAUUUCUGACAACCCAUGUUCGGAUGAGAGAGUUUUAAUGAAGUGUGAUACACUAUUAUUUAUUAUAUUAUAUUUAGGAUU